AACGCGUAAAGAACUUGCCUCACAGUUAGGGACAACAUUUGGAAACGAAUGCUAAUACCUGAUAUUAUGAUAAUAGGGCAUCCCAUAAUUAUGAAAGCUAUAAGCGCUGUGAGAGAGCUUUGCGUCCCAUUAGCUAGUUGGAGAGGUAACGGCUCACCAAGGCGAUGAUGGGUAGCCGGCCUGAGAGGGUGAUCGGCCACAAGGGGACUGAGACACGGCCCUU
rnacentral:rRNA from 1 species